rnacentral:rRNA from 1 species
AGAGUUUGAUCCUGGCUCAGGAUGAACGCUAGCGGCAGGCCUAACACAUGCAAGUCGAGGGGCAGCGCAAAGAUAGUUUACUAUUUUGGCGGCGACCGGCGCACGGGUGAGUAACGCGUAUGCAACCUACCUUAUACAGGAGUAUAGCCCUAAGAAAUUGGGCUUAAUCCUCCAUAGUAUUCUUUAAUGGCAUCAUUUGAAGAAUUAAAGCUUCGGCGGUAUAAGAUGGGCAUGCGUCCUAUUAGCUAGAUGGUAAGGUAAUGGCUUACCAUGGCUACGAUAGGUAGGGGGCCUGAGAGGGUGAUCCCCCACACUGGUACUGAGACACGGACCAGACUCCUACGGGAGGCAGCAGUGAGGAAUAUUGGGCAAUGGAGGCAACUCUGACCCAGCCAUGCCGCGUGCAGGAAGAAUGCCCUAUGGGUUGUAAACUGCUUUUAUUUAGGAAUAAACCCCUCUACGUGUAGAGGGCUGAAUGUACUAAACGAAUAAGCACCGGCUAACUCCGUGCCAGCAGCCGCGGUAAUACGGAGGGUGCAAGCGUUAUCCGGAAUCAUUGGGUUUAAAGGGUCCGCAGGCGGAUGUAUAAGUCAGUGGUGAAAUCCUGCAGCUUAACUGCAGAACUGCCAUUGAUACUGUACAUCUUGAAUUCGGUCGAAGUGGGCGGAAUGUGUAGUGUAGCGGUGAAAUGCAUAGAUAUUACACAGAACACCGAUAGCGAAGGCAGCUCACUAGGCCUGGAUUGACGCUCAGGGACGAAAGCGUGGGGAUCAAACAGGAUUAGAUACCCUGGUAGUCCACGCUGUAAACGAUGAUUACUCGUUUUCAGCGAUAUACAGUCGGAGACUAAGCGAAAGUGAUAAGUAAUCCACCUGGGGAGUACGAUCGCAAGGUUGAAACUCAAAGGAAUUGACGGGGGCCCGCACAAGCGGUGGAGCAUGUGGUUUAAUUCGAUGAUACGCGAGGAACCUUACCAGGGCUUAAAUGCAGAGCGAAUAGUUUGGAAACAGACUAGCCUUCGGGCGAUCUGCAAGGUGCUGCAUGGCUGUCGUCAGCUCGUGCCGUGAGGUGUUGGGUUAAGUCCCGCAACAAGCGCAACCCCUAUCUUUAGUUGCCAGCGAGUAAUGUCGGGGACUCUAAAGAAACUGCCUACGCAAGUAGAGAGGAAGGCGGGGACGACGUCAAGUCAUCACGGCCCUUACGUCCUGGGCCACACACGUGCUACAAUGGUCGGUACAGAGGGCAGCUACCGGGUGACCGGAUGCGAAUCUCUAAAGCCGAUCUCAGUUCGGAUUGGAGUCUGCAACUCGACUCUAUGAAGCUGGAAUCGCUAGUAAUCGCGCAUCAGCCAUGGCGCGGUGAAUACGUUCCCGGGCCUUGUACACACCGCCCGU